UACGUAGGGGGCUAGCGUUGUCCGGAAUCAUUGGGCGUAAAGAGCGUGUAGGCGGCCCGGUAAGUCCGCUGUGAAAGUCGGGGGCUCAACCCUCGAAUGCCGGUGGAUACUGUCGGGCUAGAGUGCGGAAGAGGCGAGUGGAAUUCCUGGUGUAGCGGUGAAAUGCGCAGAUAGUCGGGAGGAACGACCGGUGGCGAAGGCGGUCUCUGGGCCUGUACUGACGCUGAGGAGCGAAAGCGUGGGGAGCGAACAGG
rnacentral:rRNA from 1 species